GACCCCGACCCUGAGCGAAAGAGAGCGAGAGCGAGAGCGAGAGCGAGAUCUAGACCCGGAUCCCAAGGUGCGGCGGCGGCCAGCGAGGAGGAGCAGCGCCGAUCGAGGCCGGUGUACCUGCCCCCCAUCUUCGGGUAGAAGGAGGCGAGGAGGGCAGGAGGCCGGUGGUGCUGAACGGUGCGCGGUGCCGUCGCGCCGGUCGCCGAGGUACUGCGUCCGUCGUCAUCAGAUCACCGUUAACGACAAGUUUUCUCGUACUUUGACAAGAAUUAAAUACAGACCUAAAAAGCGGUGACAAGAGUGUCCUAACGAAGAGUAGUACAUAAGAGUCGUCCUUCGUCGGCCGCCGCCGCUCACCGCUUCACCCACCUUGUACCUUGAUACCGAGUUGGCAAAACAGGCGUAACAACGAGACGACCUUUCCCGCCCGUUGAAGAAACCACGCGACCUAAAGUAGAACCGUUGGUGCUACCAUCAGCCUCCUAAAAGUCUGAUGGACCUGGCCCUAAAGACCAUGUGGUGUUGGUAACAGAAAAAGCUUCCUACGUCCUAUAAGUCAGCUGUUUGUUCUUGUCUGCUAGUGUAAUACAAGUUCCGUUAUCCGUCAUAAGUCAAAUUUGCACAUUUAGAACCCUUAUUGUCACCAAGGAACAUAAAACGUUUACGGCACUACUACGAUCAUAGAGAUAUAGAUAACCGAAUACGAGGGUAACGAUACUACGAAAAGAGGAGAUGACGUACCUCUUACAGAAUACGUGACUGACACUAUAACCAUAGAGACGACUACCAAAUAUUGCCGACCAAAAUAUUCGACCAACCAGUACGUUCGUUUUCUCUCUCAUAUAUGAUAAAGUUAAGAGACGGGGCCGGCGAGAAGACAACUCAUUCCACAAUGAGGUAUAAAGUCAUCCUGUAACCAUGAAACUAGUAUGCCUGAUGUGCCGGUAACGAAAGACCAAAUAGAACAUAGAACAACGCUCCAAACCCAGUGGCCAAUUGACAGAUGAAUUAUUUCGCCCUCGUUUCCCUGAAGCAAGGGACGACGAUUACCGUCAUUAUACGCUUCGCUACCUACUUCUAUAUGCAUGUUAGAACAAACACGACCCACCCUAAAAACACCAUCCAAGGUAUGUUUGAGUUGAACGAAGUUAUGUCUAGUAACAUAGUAUAACAAUAGAACAGUCACCAUAACUUCACUUACCAUCACGGUUGUUUUUACACUUCGGACGUGACUUCUACCACAUGCCGGGAUCGAAACUGAGUUCCCUAUGACAUAUACCGUCGUACACCAAAUCUUAGAAAAAGUAAAGACGAGGCAUUUUGUUAACGAGAAUGGAUACCGGACUGUCUAUAAAGACCCUACUCGCGUGAACUGGAGAUGAUACUCGUAACGAUACGUUGUAAAGACGUGUUCUCGUAUAACCUGUCGUGUGUCUUCUCCUCGGAACAGUCUAAACGAUAACUCAGAAACUUUGGUCUUCGGACUGUGGUGUUCUUUACACGACGACAAGCUUAUAACUUGAGUCAAGAAGUCUUCGUUUUCCGAAGGUCAAGACUUAGGCUGUAGGAAAGGGAUUAGUGUUGGAGUUUGUUACGUCACUACUGAAAUUAGUUAUAAAACCCUACCGUUAAGGGAGUCAUACUACUAGACUCCGAUGCACGGCGUUUCCAACAACAAACGUAUCGAGGUAUAGAUGUAUAUUUGCUCAAGGGACGAGAGAACGUCGAGCAAAAUAGUGAACAACUAAGAGUUCACCAGUCACCUCCGUACUGCUCGUUAGUCGUUUAUUAGCCAUUACCAUCUGUCUUUUCCUCCUGGCGUCUGUAACUCCCUCCCUUGUCCGGUCUUCGAGACCAAACGUUUGACACCGUCGUGAAGGUUUAUAACUUCAGUCAAGGUGUGCGCCUAAGUCUCCUAUGUCCGAGAGACAGUCGUGAACCUAACUUGUAUGAUUUACCAGAAAGCGUCUUACAAGUCUUAAAAAGCCUCCUCAAGAACUCUCGUUGUCUCCAGGAGUAUGCAACGAAAGGACCAGGCUGUCAUCGCGUCGCUCUUCUCAAGUAUUGAAGUACCAACUUUAAUUAUCGGUUUGAAAGUCCCCAUUUCCCCCUUCAGCCACAUUUUGACGCAGUUCCCGAAUGCCUCCCGUUGAAAAAUUAUGAAUUGAAGCAGCUCCAGAACCUCGACCUCCCUUCGAGGUCGAUGCAACUUGUGUGUUUCGACCACAAAGUCUAGUAACGUUUACAGAGGUAACGCUACUUCUGUUCCUUGUUCUAACCCAGUCAGGGUUACCAUUAAUCGUUCAACAACUUUCUCAAAUAACCCCUCCUUAGGGUUGGUGAUUCCCGUCUCCGUCCACGACGGGAGCGGUACGACCGUAAUCUUUCGGGAGUCUGGACGAUACUGUAUGAGUGCUUUCGUCCAUUAUUCUAACAUCAACUAGAAUGGAAGUUCUAGGUCUUUCCAGUUAUACAUAUGGGUCGACGUUCCGAUAAUAUAUCGGAGACGUUUGUGUUACCUUAGUUACAGCUCAGUACUUACAAAAGAACUAAUGGACUACUGCUGCAACCGUCGCCACAACCCGACCUAUUUACUACACCUCCCGUUCCUCUACCGCCGGGAUUAACCGGAUCGAAGUCUUUGAAAAUUGCGGUACGGACGACUUCCUUAGCGUGAACAAGAACUGAGUAGUCUACCCCGCAAACACUUCUUCUACCACGUUCUCGAAAUACGGACGUCAUUUCGGUCGGGUCUUCUUAAACGUCCAUACCCUUCCCACAACCAACUCGAGUGUUGUAGACAUCACUUCAGCUCGGGUGCCAUGUCAUACGUGAAGUUCCGUUGACCCUGUUAACAACAUGAAUGAUCCAACCUUGUCACAAAUACCUACGACCAAGGUCUCCUCGUCCCGCGUUACGCACAGUCCGACCGGCUUCGUUUCCGGAACUAACUCCGACUAGUUGUACCACUGCUACUCUAGAACAGCCUCCCACAGUCCGACCGGCUUCGUUUCCGGAACUAACUCCGACUAGUUGUACCACUGCUACUAUAGAACAGCCUCCCAAUCAUAUCAUAAACAGGUGCCAACGUUCUUGAUCCGUCAGGCUGAACAAAGAAACGAUAAUAGUCUGGUCGUUACUACUCUAGAACAACCGCCCAAUCAUAUCAUAAGCAGGUGCCAACGUUUUUGAACAAAGAAACGAUAAUAGUCUGGUUGUUUUACAUGUACCACUAGUACUACUCUA
rnacentral:rRNA from 1 species